rnacentral:rRNA from 1 species
UACGAAGGGGGCUAGCGUUGCUCGGAAUCACUGGGCGUAAAGCGCACGUAGGCGGCUUUUUAAGUCAGGGGUGAAAUCCUGGAGCUCAACUCCAGAACUGCCUUUGAUACUGAGAAGCUUGAGUCCGGGAGAGGUGAGUGGAACUGCGAGUGUAGAGGUGAAAUUCGUAGAUAUUCGCAAGAACACCAGUGGCGAAGGCGGCUCACUGGCCCGGUACUGACGCUGAGGAGCGAAAGCAUGGGGAGCGAACAGG